rnacentral:rRNA from 1 species
UACGUAGGGGGCGAGCGUUGUCCGGAUUUAUUGGGCGUAAAGAGCGUGUAGGCGGCCAAACAGGUCCACUGUGAAAACUCGAGGCUCAACCUCGAGAGGUCGGUGGAAACCGUCUGGCUAGAGUCCGGAAGAGGAGAGUGGAAUUCCCGGUGUAGCGGUGAAAUGCGCAGAUAUCGGGAAGAACACCCGUGGCGAAGGCGGCUCUCUGGGACGGUACUGACGCUGAGACGGCGAAAGCGUGGGGAGCGAACAGG